AAAAUUUUCACCAAAAAAUUAUUCUUCCUUAGCCAAACAACUAAUUGGAGGGUCCUUAACAAAGUGGAGUAGUUGUUGGAGCAAUAAAACCAUAUUCUUGUGAGUUGCAAGUCAUAGCCAAAAAGGGAGACAAAAAGAAGAUUUUGGGAAGGCCAAGAGUUAAGUGGGAUUGAUUAAGGAAGCGGACAAGCUUUCAGUACAAGCCACCCUCCGUGAGUGUUGGAUCUUCCUUGACUGUCACAGACUUGGAUCAUGGUGAGCUUCCGGCGUCCAGAGACUUGUCGUUUUCCCUCUUUUGUACUGACUUUUAUUUUGUAUUUUGAUUAGUCAAUUCUCUUAUACACAUAGCCUUUCUGUACUUAGUACCUCCUGUAUAGGUGACACCAGGUCCAGGGAUGUUGGUCUUGUGCUAGUUUAUCUUCUUGGUCAUUUUUGGGCCUCUUUUGCAUACUUUGU